UACGUAGGGUGCAAGCGUUGUCCGGAAUUACUGGGCGUAAAGGGCGCGUAGGCGGCCUGUUAAGUCGGACGUGAAAUCCCUCGGCUCAACCGGGGAACUGCGUCCGAUACUGGCGGGCUUGAAUUCGGGAGAGGGAUGUGGAAUUCCAGGUGUAGCGGUGAAAUGCGUAGAUAUCGAGAGGAACACCUGCGGCGAAGGCGGGUUGCUGGGCUGAUACUGACGCUGAGGCGCGAAAGCGUGGGGAGCAAACAGG
rnacentral:rRNA from 1 species